rnacentral:rRNA from 1 species
UACGUAGGGCGCAAGCGUUGUCCGGAAUUAUUGGGCGUAAAGAGCUCGUAGGCGGCCUGUUGCGUCCGCUGUGAAAUCCCGGGGCUCAACCUCGGGCGUGCAGUGGAUACGGGCUGGCUGGAGGCAGGCAGGGGAGAGCGGAAUUCCUGGUGUAGCGGUGAAAUGCGCAGAUAUCAGGAGGAACACCGGUGGCGAAGGCGGUUCUCUGGGCCUGUACUGACGCUGAGGAGCGAAAGCGUGGGGAGCGAACAGG